ensembl:lncRNA
CAACAAGUUUACUCUGGAUCUCACUCCAAAUCAAUAAAUCCACUGAAUUCUUCAUCCUCGGUGUCACUUCUGAACAAAUCCACCAACUCCAGAGAAAACGAGAAUAUGAUUUUGUUUUAGGGGCGUUUUUGUUCAGUGUUUCUCAGAUUCUUUUAAAUCACCGUAAUAUUGAAGUUUUAAAUGUUCAGUGACCCUCGCGCGGUCGUCACUGUGACAAGAACCAACAUGUGACAUUAUAGAUUUGAAUCAUUUCACAUAUAAGUCACAUCUGAGUAUAAGUCACACCAACGACAAACUGUGAACAAAAGUGACACUUAUAGUCCAGAAAACACAGUAUCUGAUUAUAAAUGAUCAUUAGUUUGUGCAGAAAUGCUUCCAAACCCCGUGUACUCGUGGCAUGUUUCUCUUGAGUGUGUGUGUGUCGGCCCGUGUCCUGUCCUCCCUCACGCCCCCUGCUGUCUCCUCUGCCCUUGUCCCGUGCAGCCCCCCGUCCCGCGCCGUGCACCUUUACCUGUCCCAGACCUCCAUCGAGAUCGACAGCUCCGACGGCAUGAUUUCCGACCCCAGCACCCCCGACUCCAGCUCAUCCGAGGAGGACGAGAGGAGCACGGACGAAGACGAAGACGACUCUGACUGAUGAAGAAGAAGACCGCGCGGGGACAGAGAUGUUUGAAAUGUGAAGCUGCACAGGCUGAGGUUUUUUUUUUACUGGAGGGACGCCAAGAUGUCGCCGGGCGCCGCGCCAAGGAAGAGCUGUCAUUGAGCCUCAAAUAAAAUGAAAGAAAGGAGACGUUGGAAAGGAGGAGGAAAGUCGAAUCAGGUCAGGUUUGACAUCGGCGAAUAGCUUAAAAAACGACCGCCAGACUAAAGGACAAUGGUCGUUUUGUAUCGAUAACUGCUGCAGGGAUCCGUGUGAUUGAUCGGAGGCGUUCGAGGUUUUUCAACGCCGCAGGACUCUAUCGCUAAGAACUUUUCCGUUAAGCUGAUGUACAUAAUGGAAGCAGAUCGCAAAGCUAAACUUUAAAGGGUUUUUAUCGGUAAAACGCCAGUAAAAAGAUAAAGAAUUCUUGUUUAUUGGGGCUAAAAUGAGUCGCACAGACACUUGGAUUGUUCCAGUUUUGCUUUUUAGCUUUACUUUUGCGAAUCCUGAACAUAAAUCUUUUCGUUUGCAGCUUGCUCAGUUUGAUUUCUGCUGAAUUAAAACCACAAACUCUGUAAAAUCUAUAUUCAGUUUAUGACAAUACAGCACAGACGGGAAUUUCUUUUUAAACGCACAUUUCCUUAUUAUAAAGAGGAAAUUGAACUAUCCGAGCCUCUGUGUAGUACGGAUUUAUUUUUAUACGCUUCAUUAAAUAUUCUGCUUUUAGUGUUUACGUCGAUUCCGUUUGAGCGUUUUUUUAUGGCGGAAGUGUUGCCCGAUAAUCGCGUGUUUAAUUUAUUGAAGAAAUGGUGGCAAAAGGUGAAUUUAAAUACGUUUUCUCAACAGUUUUUGCAGUCGUGGUCCCGGGAAAGUCGACGAUAUUCAUGUUAAACAGCUGCACAAGGAUAUAAAACUACAAUUUAAACCUGGAUUGGAACUUUUUUGAGUCUUUCCAGUCCAAACGAAUCGUCUUCUUUUGAGCGACGACGUUCAUGUUCAUGUGAAAAAUUCAACGGACACGUCGUUUAACUCGAGGACCUGAUGAUUGUUUGUUCCUUUUGCACUUGUCAGACCUUCACGUGACAUUUCUUUCAUAAAAAUGUGAAUUUGUGGCUGUGAUCGUCACGAGGCCGAUCGCCGCUUCACUGAACAGCGGCGUACGUUUAUACUUUAUGUUCACACUUUAUCUGGAAUGAGCACAGAUCUGAAAACCCACCAGCGGCAAAACGUCCGUGUGUAUUUGAACGCACCGUCUGUACUAACAACUAAAAACUGUAACUGUGUUGAUCCAUUUUAAACCUGUGAUGUUUAUAAAUGUCUUUUGUCUAGUCAAUGCCAGAAGUAUUUUAUUGUAAGUCACUUUGAUAGAUUUUGUAAGAAUUUUUAAUAAAACAUCUGUACAUUUGUAUCCGGGUGAUUUAAUAAACUGUUUU